AGUGAACGCUGGCGGUAGGCCUAACACAUGCAAGUCGAACGGCAGCACAGUAAGAGCUUGCUCUUACGGGUGGCGAGUGGCGGACGGGUGAGGCAUACAUCGGAAUCUACUUUUUCGUGGGGGAUAACGUAGGGAAACUUACGCUAAUACCGCAUACGACCUACGGGUGAAAGCAGGGGAUCUUCGGACCUUGCGCGAUUGAAUGAGCCGAUGUCGGAUUAGCUAGUUGGCGGGGUAAAGGCCCACCAAGGCGACGAUCCGUAGCUGGUCUGAGAGGAUGAUCAGCCACACUGGAACUGAGACACGGUCCAGACUCCUACGGGAGGCAGCAGUGGGGAAUAUUGGACAAUGGGCGCAAGCCUGAUCCAGCCAUGCCGCGUGAGUGAAGAAGGCCUUCGGGUUGUAAAGCCCUUUUGUUAGGAAAGAAAAGCAGCAGAUUAAUACCCCGCUGUUCUGACGGUACCCAAAGAGUAAGCACCGGCUAACUUCGUG
rnacentral:rRNA from 1 species